AGCCAUUCAACUGUGCAUGUGCAGUUUCCAGUGACAGGACAAGGCACAACACCAUUUUCUUGUUAAUGUAAAAAUCUGAAUGAAUGUUGAUUUAAAACAUAGUAAAAUGCCUGCUUGGGAGCAUUACUAAUCCUAAAUCCUUGUCAUCUUUACAACAAAAAAAGUAUCUUUCAGUUGUCUAAAACCAUGUCUUUUCAAGACAUUAGUCAUUAAUC